GAUGAACGCUAGCUACAGGCUUAACACAUGCAAGUCGAGGGACCGGCGCACGGGUGAGUAACACGUAUCCAACCUGCCCUUUACUCGGGGAUAGCCUUUCGAAAGAAAGAUUAAUACCCGAUGUAAAGGAGGGGGAUGCGUUUCAUUAGGUUGUGGGGGAGGUAACGGCUAACCUAGCCUUCGAUGGAUAGGGGUUCUGAGGGGAAGGUCCACCACAUUGGAACUGAGACACGGUCCAAACUCCUACGGGAGGCAGCGGUGAGGAAUAUUUGUCACUGGACGUUAGCCUAGACCAGCCGAGUAGCGUGAAUGAUGAGGGCUUUUGAGUCGUAAUCUUCUUUUAUAUAAGAAGAUGUAUUAUAUGAAUAAGGAUCGGCUAACUCCGUGCCAGCAGCCGCGGUAAUAC
rnacentral:rRNA from 1 species